GUGAGACAGAGCAGGUCAAUGAUGACUCCCAGGACUGGGGCCUGAGCACCCAGCAGGAUGGCAGUGCCGUUUCCUGAGAUGGGCAAGGCAAGUUCGGGAUCGGGGGAAGAUCAGGACUUCGGAUUGGGGCAUGUUUAAAGGUGCCCAGUGGUGGCAUGUUGAGGAGGCUGUGGUUGGAGACACAGGUCCAGGGGAGACAUCUGGCCCAGGAUAUACCUUUGUCACAAUGAAAAAGCAUCAACUUGUGGAGAGAGACUUGCCCAAGUGGAACCCUGAACUUCAGGCAGGAGCUUCCCAUCUUGGCCAAAGCACAGCCUUCUUCGACACAGAUGAGAAAACUGAGGCACAGAGAGUUUGACCUACCCUAGUGAGAUACCAAACCGGGAUAUGUAUCAAAAACUAAUUGCCCAGGAAGAGGUGGGCUUCCCUGGUGGCUUCCUGCCAAUGCAGGAGACACAGGUUUGAUCCCUGAUCUGGGACGAUCCAGCAUGCCAUGGACCAACUAAACCCGUGCACCACAACUUCUGAGCCUGUGCUCUAGAGACCAGAGCCGCAACUACUGAAGCCCGAGCACCUAGAGCCCGUGCUCUGCAACAAGA